rnacentral:rRNA from 1 species
GGGGUUCGAUUCUGGCUCAAGUUGAACGCUGGCGGGAUGCUUUACACAUACAAGUCGAACGGCAGCACGGACUUCGGUCUGGUGGCGAGUGGCAGAACGGGUGAAGUAAUGUAUCGGAACGAUGCCUAGUAGCGGAGGAUAACUACGCGAAAGCGUAGCUAAUACCACAUACGCCCUUCGGAGAAAGCAGAGAUAUCGGGCCUGUACUAUUAGAGCGGCCGAUAUCGGAUUAGCUGGUUGGUGUAACGGCUCGCAAGGCGGCGACGAUCGUAGCUGGUUUGAGAGGACGACCAGCCACACUGGGACUGCAGGGCGGCCCGAACUCCUGCGGGAGGCAGCAGUGGGGUACGGACAAUGGGGGAAACCCUGAUCCAGCCAUCCCGCGUGUGCGAUGAAGGCCUUCCGGGUUACAAAGCACUUUUGGCAGAAAGAAGCAGCCACAGGAUAACCACCCGUCACAACUGACGAAAACACCUGCAGAAUAAGCACCGGCUAACUACGUGCCAGCAACCGCGGUAAUACGUAGGGUGCAAGAAAGCGUUAAUGGAAUUACUGGGCGUAAAGCGUGCGCAGGCGGUUCGGAAGAAAGAUGUGAAAUCCCAGAGCUUAACUUUGGAACUGCAUUUUUAACUACAGAGCUAAGAGUGUGUCAGGAGGUGGAAUUCCGCGUGCUGGCAGUGAAAUGCGUGGAUAUGCGGAGGAACACCGAUGGCGAAACAGCCUCCUGGAAUACUGACGCUCAUGCGAAAACGUGGGGAGCAAGCAGGUUGGAUACCCUGGUGGUCCACCCUAAACGAUGUCAACUUAUAGCUAUUUGAGGGCCUUUGAGCCUUGGUAGCCUUCAACUAACGCGUGAAGUUGGCCACUUGGGAGUACGGUCGCAAGAUUAAACUCAAAAUUGACGGGGACCCGCACAAGCGGUGGAUGAUGUGGAUUAAUUCGAUGCAACACGAAAAACCUUGCCUACCCUUGACAUGUCUGGAAUCCAAGAGAUUUGGGAGUGCUCGCAAGAGAACCGGAACACAGGUGCUGCAUGGCUGUCGUCAACUCGUGUCGUGAGAUGUUGAGUUGAGUCCCGCAACGAGCGCGCAACCCUUGUCGUGGUGCUACGAAAAGGGCACUCUAAUGGAGCUGCCGGUGACAAACCGGAGGAAGAAGGUGGGGAUGACGUCAGAUCCUCAUGGCCCUUAUGGGUAGGGCGCUACACGUCAUACAAUGGUCGGGACAGAGGGUCGCCAACCCGCGAGGAGCCAAUCCCAGAAACCCCGAUCUCCACGUAGUCGGAUCGCCAGUCUGCAAACUCGACUGCGUGAAGUCGGAAUCGCUAUUAAUCGCGGAUCAGCAUGUCGCGGUGAAUACGUUCCCGGAGUCUUGUACACACCGCCCACGUCACAUAUGGGAGUGGGUUUUACCAGAAGUAGUUAGCUAACCGUAAGGAGGCGAUUACCACGGUAAGUUCAUGACUGGGGUGAAGUCGUAACAAGGUAA